rnacentral:rRNA from 1 species
CAGUAGCCGCGGGAAUACGGAGGGGGCUAGCGUUGUUCGGAAUUACUGGGCGUAAAGCGCACGUAGGCGGACCGGAAAGUCAGAGGUGAAAUCCCAGGGCUCAACCUUGGAACUGUCUUUGAAACUGGCAAGCUAGAGUCUUGUAGAGGGGGGUAGAAUUCCAGGUGUAGCGGUGAAAUGCGUAGAGAUCUGGAGGAAUACCGGUGGCGAAGGCGGCCCCCUGGACAAAGACUGACGCUCAGGUGCGAAAGCGUGGGGAGCAAACAGGAUUAGAUACCCGCGUAGUCCCUGUCUCCUUAUA